rnacentral:rRNA from 1 species
AACGCGAAGAACCUUACCAGGGCUUGACAUCUGAGGAACUUUUGUGAAAGCAGAAGGUGCUCUUCGGAGAGCCUCAAGACAGGUGGUGCACGGUUGUCGUCAGCUCGUGUCGUGAGAUGUUGGGUUAAGUCCCGCAACGAGCGCAACCCUCGUCGUUAGUUGGAUAAUUUGGUAUACUGGAUUAUUCCUCUCUAGCGAGACUGCCGGUGAUAAACCGGAGGAAGGUGGGGACGACGUCAAAUCAUCAUGCCCCUUAUGCUCUGGGCUACACACGUGUUACAAUGGCCGGUACAACGAGCCGCCAACUUGCGAGAGUGAGCAAAUCUCUAAAAACCGGUCUCAGUUCGGAUUGCACUCUGCAACUCGAGUGCAUGAAGUCGGAAUCGCUAGUAAACGCGGAUCAGCAUGCCGCGGUGAAUACGUUCCCGGGUCUUGUACACACGC